AGUGAACGCUGGCGGCGUGCCUAAUACAUGCAAGUCGAACGAAGUGGCGCGCGGGUGAGUAAUAUAUAGUUCAUCUGCCCUACACAGAGGAACAACAGUUGGAAACGACUGCUAAUACCUCAUAGUGUAGGAUGAGACUAUAUCGUAUCAGCUAGUUGGUAAGGUAAUGGCUUACCAAGGCUAUGACGCGUAACUGGUCUGAGAGGAUGAUCAGUCACAUUGGAAGUGGGACACGGUCCAGACUAUUACGGAAGGGAGCAGUAAGUAAUAUUGCGCAAUGGGGGAUGCCCUGACGCAGUUACGACGGGUGGAGGAUGAAACUUGGCGGAGAGUAAAGUCAGUUUAUCAGGAAAGCGGAACCUGAUGAAUAAGCACCGGCUACCUCCGGGCCAGCGGCCGGGGUAAUU
rnacentral:rRNA from 1 species